CUUUAUGCUCACUGGAUGAGAUGAGCGUUGUCCCGCCCUCUGCUUGCCGCUCAUUGGCUGGCGAGCUGCGCGGGGUGGGGAUCUCUGAAUGGAGGCGAGCUAAGAUGGCGGCGGGCUGAGGGGGGUGCUGUGAGAGAAGAAGGUGACAUUGGAGCACUGACAUUGGAGCACUGACAUUGGAGCACUGCCCUAUAGCAACAUGAGGAAUUGCUGAGGUAACUUUGGCCUGUAAGGACGUGAAUAUUGUCUGACACAAGCAAACUAGAAGAUUUUCCAGCUAUGUCAAAGAUAACCUUGUUUUUCUAAGAUACUUAAAUAUAUUCCUCACCUGCUGUGUA